rnacentral:rRNA from 1 species
AGAGUUUGAUCCUGGCUCAGAUCGAACGCUGGCGGCGUGGCUAAAACAUGCAAGUCGCACGGAAAGGCGGCUUCUGACCCUUCGGGUGACGAAGCUGUACUCGAGUGGCGAAAGGGCGAGUAAUGCAUGGGUAACGUGCCUUGAGCACGGGGAUAGCUGGGGGAAACUGCAGGUAAUACCCGAUGAGACCACAGUAUCUUAUGGUACAGCGGUCAAAGGUGGGGCUCCUUCGGGACCUAUCGGCCAUAGAGCGGUCCAUGUCCUAUCAGCUUGUUGGUGAGGUAACGGCUCACCAAGGCAUCGACGGGUACCGGGACUGAGAGGUUGACCCGGCGCAUUGGGACUGAGACACUGCCCAGACUCCUACGGGAGGCUGCAGUAACGAAUAUUCCGCAAUGGACGCAAGUCUGACGGAGCGACGCCGCGUGUGGGAUGAAGCCCUUCGGGGUGUAAACCACUGUCAGGGACUACCAAGCAAUGAGGGCUAAUACCCUUCGGCGUUGAGGAAUCCCAGAGGAAGCCACGGCUAACUUCGUGCCAGCAGCCGCGGUAAGACGAAGGUGGCAAGCGUUGUUCGGAAUCACUGGGCUUAAAGAGCACGUAGGCGGCCUAUCAAGCGUCAGGUGAAAUCCCUCGGCUCAACCGAGGAAUGGCAAGGCGAACUGAUAGGCUUGAGGCAGGUAGGGGCACAUGGAACUCUUGGUGGAGCGGUGGAAUGCGUAGAUAUCAAGAGGAACGCCGGUGGCGAAAGCGGUGUGCUGGGCCUGUCCUGACGCUGAGGUGCGAAAGCCAGGGGAGCGAACGGGAUUAGAUACCCCGGUAGUCCUGGCUGUAAACGAUGUCUACUAGAUCGGUGAACUUCUGACAGUGUGCCGGUCGAAGUUAAAGUGUUAAGUGGACCGCCUGGGGAGUACGGUCGCAAGGCUAAAACUCAAAGGAAUUGACGGGGGCUCACACAAGCGGUGGAGCAUGUUGCUUAAUUCGAUGCAACGCGAAGAACCUUAUCCUGGGCUUGACAUGUUUGGAUGCCUACCUGGAAACAGGGUCGGCUGCCCUUCGGGGUGAAACUUGCACAGGUGCUGCAUGGCUGUCGUCAGCUCGUGUCGUGAGAUGUUGGGUUAAGUCCCGUAACGAGCGAAACCCUUGUCGUUAGUUGCCAGCGCGUAAUGGCGGGGACUCUAGCGAGACUGCCGGUGUUAAACCGGAGGAAGGUGGGGAUGACGUCAAGUCCUCAUGGCCUUUAUGCCCAGGGCUGCAAACGUGCUACAAUGGCUGGUACAAACCGACGCUAAGCCGCGAGGCCACGCAAAUCGGAAAAAGCCAGCCCCAGUUCGGAUUGGAGUCUGCAACUCGACUCCAUGAAGUCGGAAUCGCUAGUAAUCGCGUAUCAGCGUGACGCGGUGAAUGUGUUCCUGAGCCUUGUACACACCGCCCGUCAAGUCAUGGAAGCUGGGAGCACCCGAAGUCGGCAUAUUUCAAUGCUGCCUAAGGUGAGUUCGGUAACUGGGACUAAGUCGUAACAAGG